rnacentral:rRNA from 1 species
GAUGAACGCUGGCGGCGCGCCUAACACAUGCAAGUCGAACGGCACCCCUCUCCGGAGGGAAGCGAGUGGCGAACGGCUGAGUAACACGUGGAGAACCUGCCCCCUCCCCCGGGAUAGCCGCCCGAAAGGACGGGUAAUACCGGAUACCCCGGGGUGCCGCACGGCACCCCGGCUAAAGCCCCGACGGGAGGGGAUGGCUCCGCGGCCCAUCAGGUAGACGGCGGGGUGACGGCCCACCGUGCCGACAACGGGUAGCCGGGUUGAGAGACCGACCGGCCAGAUUGGGACUGAGACACGGCCCAGACUCCUACGGGAGGCAGCAGUGGGGAAUCUUGCGCAAUGGGGGGAACCCUGACGCAGCGACGCCGCGUGCGGGACGGAGGCCUUCGGGUCGUAAACCGCUUUCAGCAGGGAAGAGUCAAGACUGUAC